UUUAGGAUCCUAUAAGAUAGAGUGAGUCUAUAAAUAACUAAGUAAUCUAAUUGCUUU
rnacentral:tRNA from 1 species